rnacentral:rRNA from 1 species
GAUGAACGCUGACAGAAUGCUUAACACAUGCAAGUCUUUGGCGAAGCUGUGCUUGCACAGCCUAGCCAAGGCGGACGGGUGAGUAACGCGUAAGGGACUUGCCCUGCAGUCAGGGAUAACAGACGGAAACGACUGAUAAAACCUGAUAAAGUCAGGCGGACUCAUGUCCAGCCUGAUGAAAAGAGAUGCUGCAGGAGAGCCUUGCGUCCUAUUAGCUUGUUGGUGGGGUAACGGCCCACCAAGGCGAUGAUAGGUAGCCGGCCUGAGAGGGUGGACGGCCACAAGGGGACUGAGAUACGGCCCUUACUCCUACGGGAGGCAGCAGUGGGGAAUAUUGGACAAUGGGGGCAACCCUGAUCCAGCAAUUCUGUGUGCACGAUGAAGGUCUUCGGAUUGUAAAGUGCUUUCAGCAGGGAAGAAA